UACGUAGGGGGCAAGCGUUGUCCGGAUUUACUGGGCGUAAAGAGCGUGUAGGCGGCCAAACAGGUCCGUUGUGAAAACUGGAAGCUCAACUUCCAGACGUCGACGGAAACCGUGUGGCUAGAGUCCGGAAGAGGAGAGUGGAAUUCCUGGUGUAGAGGUGAAAUUCGUAGAUAUCAAGCGGAACACCGGUGGCGAAGGCGGCCUUCUGGACAGUGACUGACGCUGAGACGCGAAAGCGUGGGGAGCAAACAGG
rnacentral:rRNA from 1 species